GGCCGGCUGGCGAAAUGGUAUCGCGUCAGAUUUCGGCCCACCGAACUCCAAAACUCUGAAGAUUGCAGGUUCGAGCCCUGCGUCGGUCG
rfam:Pestalotiopsis fici W106-1 unplaced genomic scaffold PFICI_Scf_5, whole genome shotgun sequence.